CUCGUUCUCGCGUGCAUGUCCUUCCUCGCUCCUAGUACCACUUCCGUAGGUGAUCACGGUUGCAUUUAGCACAUGCACCAAGCCCUUUAAACCCCUAGAUAGCUCUAGUGGACGAGUGUGUUCUCGUGAGGGUUUGUAGAAGAUGUACCCACAAAAUCCCAAGUCUAGCAAUUAAUAUUCUUUACUAGACUACAUCGAUAAGUCCAUUAGAAUCCCAUGAAGGCGGUUAGUUCAUAAUCGAACUAAUCGACAUCAUGGGUUCUAAUGAAAACAUGAUAAAUAAACUACGAGAAUUAAAUGGAAUAAAAGUACUUGAAUUAAUAAUAAAGAACACAACGUUACAGAUUUGAUGUUCACGAUCUCGCUCGAAACUGUCACUUCCUCGCGAAGAACGAUCCAAUACAAAACUGAUAAUGUGCUUGAUUACAAGAGAAAAACUGAUAAAACUAUAAUCCGAUAUUCUACGAUCUAAAACUACUUCGAGGCUAGGGUUUUUACACUUGAGAAAUUAAAAUGCUUUGACUAAGUCAACCGGGCCUCGUCCGCUGCGAAAAUCCAUCAGAAAAGCUGUAAAAAUCGGCCCGGAGCACUUCUGGAGGGCGCGGCCGCGCUAAACUAGCGCAGGCGCGCUAGUGGCAGCAGUAGGUAGCGCGGGCGCGCUAGAGGUUAGCGCGGGCGCGCUACUGUCUGCCACUGGCAGCCCUAUUCUUCGUUUUUCAGCUCGUUCUCGCGUGCAUGUCCUUCCUCGCUCUAGUACCACUUCCGUAGGUGAUCACGGUUGCAUUUAGCACAUGCAACAAGCCCUUUAAACCCCUAGAUAGCUCUAGUGGACGAGUGUGUUCUCGUGAGGGUUUGUAGAAGAUGUACCCACAAAAUCCCAAGUCGUGAUGAAUCCACAAUUCUCUAUUCUUGCAAAUAAUGCACCAAAAACAACCUAAAAUGAUAGAAAAUCACUUCAUCACCUCAACUCGUGACCUGCACAGAAAAACACUAAAAACACAUCAAAAGACACUAAACACUUAAGUACAACCAACCAAUUUAAGUGGAAAUGAAGGCCUAUAAGUGUGUAUAAAUACCACUUAUCACACCCCCAAACUUAAACUGAUGCUUGUCCUCAAGCGUCAACGACACUAUACAAUAAUACAAUGCAAUGCAUGAAUGCAACUACGUGAUGAAUGAGUGAACUAUGAAGUAAUUGCCUUGCCAAUUAUAAUACCUCAGAUUGUGCUAAUGUUAGAGAGAAAACUGAUAAAACUAUGAUCUGAUAUUCUACUAUAUUCAACUACUACGAGGCUAGGGUUUUACACAUGAAAAAUAAUAAAGUGCAUUGACCAAGUCAACCGGGCCUCGACCGCUGCGAAAAUCCAUCAGAAAAGCUUCGAAAAUCGGCCCGGGGCACUUCUGCUGGGCGCGGCCGCGCUAAACUAGCGCAGGCGCGCUAGUGGUCCCAGUGGAUAGCGCGGGCGCGCUAACACUUAGCGCGGGCGCGCUAGUGUCUGCCACUGGCAGCCAUGUUUCUUCGUUUUUAGCUCGUUCUCGCGUGCAUGCCCUUCCUCGCUCUAGUACCACUUCCGUAGGUGAUCACGGUUGCAUUUAGCAUAUGCAACAAGCCCUUUAAACCCCUAGAUAGCUCUAGUGGACGAGUGUGCUCUCGUGAGGGUUUGUAGAAGAUGUACCCACAAAAUCCCAAGUCGUGAGGAAUCCACAAUUCUCUAUUCUUGCAAAUAAUGCACCAAAAACAACCUAAAAUGAUAGAAAAUCACUUCAUCACCUCAACUCGUGACCUGCACAGAAAAACACUAAAAACAC
rnacentral:lncRNA from 1 species